CACUCCUGCGGGAGGCAGCAGUGGGGAAUUUUGGACAAUGGGCGAAAGCCUGAUCCAGCAAUGCCGCGUGAGUGAAGAAGGCCUUCGGGUUGUAAAGCUCUUUUGUCAGGGAAGAAACGGUGAGAGCUAAUAUCUCUUGCUAAUGACGGUACCUGAAGAAUAAGCACCGGCUAACUACGUGCCAGCAGCCGCGGUAAUACGUAGGGUGCAAGCGUUAAUCGGAAUUACUGGGCGUAAAGCGUGCGCAGGCGGUUUUGUAAGUCUGAUGUGAAAUCCCCGGGCUCAACCUGGGAAUUGCAUUGGAGACUGCAAGGCUAGAAUCUGGCAGAGGGGGGUAGAAUUCCACGUGUAGCAGUGAAAUGCGUAGAUAUGUGGAGGAACACCGAUGGCGAAGGCAGCCCCCUGGGUCAAGAUUGACGCUCAUGCACGAAAGCGUGGGGAGCAAACAGGAUUAGAAACCCCAGUAGUCCCA
rnacentral:rRNA from 1 species